ensembl:lncRNA
AAACAUACCUACAAGUACAUCUAAGGCGCAAAUGGUGGAGACAUGAUUGUAACACACCACAGUGUGUAUUUCGGCGGAAGAAAGAACCCUGGACAUCAAAAAUGAUGUUUUGAUUUUUAGUUUUAAAUGACAACAGAAUUGAAAUACCUCCCCUAAAUACAUCUUCCGAAACCAGCAAGGAGAUAAUCAUCUUCACUGAAAUAUGCAUGUAAUUCAAUGAUCCACGGAGAAGAAGGCAUCGGAGGUGGCCUGAGCGUGGCCGCUCACUCCUGUUUCCUGAGUCACAUCUUUACCACGGAGUUCCCGGGUGGAGGCCCGUGGACCGUCCUGCACACCACGCCCAUCGUCGGGCUGAGCCUGCUGUCGGACGUGGCUGGACACCCUCUGACCAAGGAUGGCUGCGAGGGCAGUGGUCACCUUGAAGCCUCUUGGCAUUCCCAGUGCCAGGAGCAGGAGGCACUGGGCCAGUGUCUGCCGAACUGGACGACCCUCAGGGCAGCAGGAUGGGGUGACCACGUUGAUCCUGGGGGGCUUCCUUAAGCAUCUUGGGUUGAGUAACUGUCUUUGCUGGUCUUACAAGUGAGGAACUUGUCCGGCGAUAACCAGAACGUGUGAUGGGGAAACAGCGAGGCUUGAAAUGGAGGCUAGCUUCUGUUCUAUCUGAGUGUCCUGCAAGGAGACAGGGGCACUCUCUGCUGAUGCCACCAGGCAGGCUGGUACCCACAUGCUGGGCAGCAUCUCAUAGCCAUUCUGAAUGGCACAUCUCUGUUACUUGCUCACUUGGGACCACAUUCCAUGUAGCAGCUGGCCUAUCCCUGUGUUUGGUCAAAUCUGGUUCUGAGAAUAGCAAAUUGGCUCUCAUUAUUACUGUGUCUGGGGAAUCCCUGAUAGGAGGCGGAAGACAUGGCCCUUUCCGCUUGCCCCCAUGUGAGGCUGGUGGCCCAGCAGCACCCCAGGUGCUCAGGACACACUGGCCAUCCUCGUCCUCCUCCUCGAAGUCUCAGAGCCACAUAGAAUUCCAGCCUAGUGGGGAUGAGUGUGGGAGUCAGGCAGUGCAGGGCUGCACCCGCCUCUGGUGUACUGGCUAUGGGACAGCUUCUCAUCAGCAAACGAAGACGACAGCCACCCUCGCCCAGCGGAGGCAGCAGCCUGGCCCAGGUUUUUGUAUAGAUCACACUCCAGAGGCUGAGGACGAGAGCAGAGUGGACCUGCCUGCACACGCAGACCAUGACCACUGUCCUGCCAGAAGACAGGAGCACGCUCUGUCCCACAAGUCAGCACUAUGUCCCCUCCCACAACGUUCCUUCCUGCAUCCAUGUUCCAGGCUAUUCUAGGCUCUCUUCUCAGAAUGCCUAGGAGUGUCCUGGGACAGAGCUGGGCACGGGGGUCACCACAGUGACAAGGACAGCAGGGAUGGAGUCCACCCCUCAAAUGGCCUUUCUGGUGUGUGGUCUGGAACAGUUUCCCUGAGCCUGGAAAUGGGGUGGCUUUGUUCCGGCUCCUCCCCUCCCCUCCCCCAGCCCACUGGGGACUUGCUGGCAUUGAAGAGAGAAGAGGACCAUGACUGAACCUAAGGAGGGGGGCACUGGCCAUUUGGCCAAGGGACACGUGGACCACAGACAGCAGGUCAUCGAGUCCUGAGUCAAGAAGCCACCUGAGAAGCCACUCCUGGAUGACCAACCGUUGUGCACGUCGACACGCGCCCCCCAUCAGGUGCUUGCUAGUCUUUAAAUCAGCCGGCAGCGUUUCAGCCUCAGGGGCAAAUGACCUUGCAUUUGUUAUAAGUAGUGAGUGUCUCCCUUUAAAUCAAGGACGAGUUCUUUUAAGGCCUUACCUGCAAUUCAUUGUGUAGGUUUUAAUUAUCUUCAGGGCAGGGGGUCCCCACCUCCCUGAAGGACCCAGUGCCUCCCCAAACACACUAAGCUCCCUCUGGACUUCCUUCUUCCUGAAAUGCCUCCACUGAACCCCGCCAACCUGCCUCUCCCAGUCAGCACACCCUGCAGGUUGCAGCCAUGCACAGCUGCCCCUAAUCCCCGAGACUGGGCCACGUGUCCCCUCUGUGUAGCCAAGGCUGAUGCUCCUGUUGCAGGGUCAUCACUUGUGUAGGUUUUAAUUAUCUUCAGCUGGAAAUGAUAGAAACCCAAAGUAACAGUUGCUUAAAGAAGGCAGUUUUGCUUUUUUUUUUCCACACCUGUUUGGAGUCAGGCAGGUCAGGGCUGGUCUGCUCCUUCAUAAUGACCUCAGGAUGAGGUUGAUUAACCUACCACAUAGGUCCUCUUUGUCCAGAGCCACCUUGCUCACGGUGGCCACUUCAGCACCGGCCCUUACAUCUCCAUCCCAGUCAGCAGGAAAGAAGAUCUCUGAGAGGGAAGGGCAGAAAGCCAGGAUCAACUGUGUUGUUGUUUGAAGGAAGGGCCGCCACACUCUGCUUCAUCUGAUUGGCCAGAGUGUAAUCACAUGGCCAUGUCUAGCUGCAAGGGAGGCUGGAAGAUGUAGCUUUCAUUGUGGGUGAACAUGUGCCAGCUGAAAUCAGUUCUAUUACUCUGGCCGGGGGGGCGGGGUGGAUGGGGUGGCAAACGUGGGAGGAGAGCUGCCGCCUUGUCCACACCAUCUCUUUAUUCCUAGUGCUCAGCUUAGAGACAGACUGCUGGAUAUUCUGAGUGGAUAAGUGAUGCUUGAAUGACUGAGUGAGAGUCCAUGGUGGGCAGCAGGACCCGGCCAUGGGCUCCACUCUGCAAGGGGGGGCCCUCAUGGGAUGGCAGGCCCAGGGCAUCCUCAGCUCAGCUGCUCAGCAGCCCCAGGGAGCAUUGUGGUAAAGAGGGUCAGGACGCUUUGAUUUCCAGAUGCCCAGGGCCAGGGGCUGUGAGCAGGCCUGCAGGGGAGGGGCCAUCUCAGCGCCCGAUGGGGCACUUGGUGAGGUUCCUCCUUGCCUCAGCUCCUCUCCCAUCUCAGUGCCACCGUCCUCUCUGACUUCUGGGGUCUGAGCCUGGCACAGAGCUUCAGCAGGUAUCGCUAGCUUGUGGGACUCUCUGGAUGCUUCUGCUGCUGCUGCUGCUAAGUCACUUCAGUUGUGUCUGACUCUGUGCAACCCCAGAGACGGCAGCCCACCAGGCUCCCCCGUCCCUGGGAUUCUCCAGGCAAGAACACUGGAGUGGGUUGCCAUUUCCUUCUCCAAUGCAUGAAAGUGAAAAGUGAAAGUGAAGUCGCUCAGCCGUGUCCGACUCCUAGCGACCCCAUGGACUGCAGCCUAUCAGGCUCCUCCGCCCAUGAGAUUUUCCAGGCAAGAGUACUGGAGUGGGGUGCCAUUGCCUUCUCCCUGGAUGCUUCUAAUGUGCUCCAUCAGCCAGGCCUGACGAAGCUUGAGUUCAAGGGCUUUUCCAGGGUAGACUCCUCCCCUCACCACCCAUCAUCACCAUUGAGAGAAAAGAAGCGCCCGUGCUGCACCAGCUCGGGGAAGGACGGGCGGCCACAGCUGAGGGACCACAUCUGGGCAGACAGCCGUCGAAGAGCGGGUCGAUGCAGAGUCAUCGAAGAAAAUUGCAUCUGAGAACGUCGGGCAAAUCACCGUGAUUCUGUAGGCUGGUUUUCCUUGCAAACCACUGAGGCCUGGCAUGGGCCCAGAUAUAAUAGAAUUGACCAUACUGCCCGCUUAGGAUGCAGGCCUCGCAGCCUCAUAAAGGGCCUGAGAGAUCUGUAAACUGAAGCACCAGCCCCAUCUGCACCCCGUCAUUUGUUUGGCUUGGCAGAGGCGAGAGUUCAUGCCUGGCAUUAUUACUAUUAUGAUGGGAUUUUCAUGGUGAUUCACCUCCCACAGCUCAGCCUUCCCCUCAC